GACGAACGCUGGCGGCGUGCUUAACACAUGCAAGUCGAACGGAAAGGGCCUGCUUUUGUGGGGUGCUCGAGUGGCGAACGGGUGAGUAACACGUGAGUAACCUGCCUUUGACUUUGGGAUAACUUCAGGAAACUGGGGCUAAUACCGGAUAGGAGCUCCUGCUGCAUGGUGGGGGUUGGAAAGUUUCGGCGGUUGGGGAUGGACUCGCGGCUUAUCAGCUUGUUGGUGGGGUAGUGGCUUACCAAGGCUUUGACGGGUAGCCGGCCUGAGAGGGUGACCGGCCACAUUGGGACUGAGAUACGGCCCAGACUCCUACGGGAGGCAGCAGUGGGGAAUAUUGCACAAUGGGCGGAAGCCUGAUGCAGCAACGCCGCGUGCGGGAUGACGGCCUUCGGGUUGUAAACCGCUUUCGCCUGUGACGAAGCGUGAGUGACGGUAAUGGGUAAAGAAGCACCGGCUAACUACGUG
rnacentral:rRNA from 1 species